UACGUAGGGGGCAAGCGUUGUCCGGAAUCAUUGGGCGUAAAGCGCGCGUAGGCGGCCAGAUAAGUCCGGUGUGAAAGUCACAGGCUCAACCUGUGAAUGCCGCUGGAAACUGUCUGGCUUGAGUCCGGAAGGGGCGAGUGGAAAUUCCUGGUGUAGCGGUGAAAAUGCGCAGAUAUCAGGAGAAACACCAAUGGCGAAGGCAGCUCGCUGGAACGGUACUGACG
rnacentral:rRNA from 1 species